rnacentral:rRNA from 1 species
CUACCUGAUCCGAGGUCAAUUUUCAAAAGUUGGGGGUUUAACGGCAGGGCACCGCCAGGGCCUUCCAAAGCGAGGGUUUAACUACUGCGCUCGGGGUCCUGGCGAGCUCGCCACUAGAUUUCAGGGCCUGCCCUUUUACAGGCAGUGCCCCAACACCAAGCAAUGCUUGAGGGUUGAAAUGACGCUCGAACAGGCAUGCCCUCCGGAAUACCAGAGGGCGCAAUGUGCGUUCAAAGAUUCGAUGAUUCACUGAAUUCUGCAAUUCACAUUACUUAUCGCAUUUCGCUGCGUUCUUCAUCGAUGCCAGAACCAAGAGAUCCGUUGUUGAAAGUUUUGAUUCAUUUGUGUUUUUUCUCAGAGUUUCAGUGUAAAAACAAGAGUUAACUUGGCCGCCGGCGUGCCUGCUCCUUGUCUCCAAGGGACCCCGAGGGGGCCAGCAUGCGCCGAGGCAACAGUAAGGUAUAAGUUCACAAAGGGUUUCUGGGUGCGCCUGGGGCGCGUUCCAGCAAUGAUCCCUCCGCAGGUUCACCUACGGAA